rnacentral:rRNA from 1 species
AGAGUUUGAUCCUGGCUCAGGAUGAACGCUAACGGCAGGCCUAAUACAUGCAAGUCGUACGGUAUUCCGGUUUCGGCCGGGAGAGAGUGGCGGAUGGGUGCGUAACGCGUAUGCAACCUGCCCGGUACAGGCGGAUAGCCCCCGGAAACGGGGAUCAAUACGCCGUGUUGCGGUUUUCCGGCAUCGGGAUUCCGCCAAAGCCUUCGGGCGGUACCGGAUGGGCAUGCGUGGGAUUAGCUUGUUAAAAAUGUAACAAACCACCAAAACUUUGAUCCCUAGGGGACCUGAGAGGGCGAUCCCCCACACUAACACUAAGACACGGGCCAGACUCCUACGGGAGGCAGCAGUAGGGAAUAUUGGGCAAUAAACGAUAACCUGACCCAACCAUACCACAUGCAGGAAGACGGCGUUCUGCGUUGUAAACUGCUUUUCCCCGGGAAGAAAGGGCCCAUGCGUAAAACGUUGCCGGUACCGGGGGAAUAAGCACCGGCUAACUCCAUACCAGCAGCCGCGGUAAUACAAAGAAUGCGAGCGUUGUCCGGAUUUAUUGGGUUUAAAGGGUGCGUAGACGGCCCAGCAAGUCGGCGGUGAAAUUCCACGGCUCAACCGUGGGUGUGCCGAUGAUACUGCUGGGCUUGAGUUCCGGCGGGGUACAUGGAAUUCAUGGUGUAACGGUGAAAUGCAUAGAUACCAUGGGGAACCCCGAUAACGUAGGCAUUGUACUUGCCGGCGACUGACGCUGAUACACGAAAGCGCGGGUAGCGAACAGGAUUAGAUACCCUGGUAGUCCGCGCCGUAAACGAUGAUCACUCGCUGUUCCAAACUUGUUCCGGGGCGGCCCAGCGAAAACAUUAAGUAAUCCACCUGGGGAGUACGGCCGCAAGGCUGAAACUCAAAGAAAUUGACGGGGGUCCGCACAAGCGGUGAAGCAUGUGGUUUAAUUCGAUGAUACGCGAGGAACCUUACCUGGGCUAGAAUGCGCGUGACGGGCCGGGAGACCGGCCUUCCCUUCGGGGCACAAAGCAAGGUGCUGCAUGGCUGUCGUCAGCUCGUGCCGUGAGGUGUUGGGUUAAGUCCCGCAACGAGCGCAACCCCUGUGUCCAGUUGCCAACGGGUGGAGCCAAAAACUCUAGACAGACUGCCCGCGCAAGCGGAGAGGAAGGGGAGGACGACGUCAAGUCAUCGUAACCCUUACGCCCAGGACAACACACAUACUACAAUGGCGCAUACAACAAAUAGCUAGGCGGCGACGUCCGGCCAACCCCUAAAAAUACGUCUCAGUUCGGAUCGGGGCCUGCAACUCGGCCCCGUGAAGCUGGAAUCACUAGUAAUCGCGCAUCAGCCACGGCGCGGUGAAUACGUUCCCGAACCUUGUACACACCGCCCGUCAAGCCAUGGGAGCCGGGGGGACCUGAAGACGGUAACCACAAGGGGCCGUUAAAAGUAAAACCGGUGACUGGGGCUAAGUCGUAACAAGGUAACCGU